rnacentral:rRNA from 1 species
AGAGUUUGAUCCUGGCUCAGGAUGAACGCUGGCGGCAUGCCUAACACAUGCAAGUCGAUCGGUAAGGCUCUUCGGAGUACACGAGAGGCGGACGGCUGAGUAACGCGUAGGAACACACCCUGCAGUGAGGGAUAAGACACCGAAAGGUGUUCUAAUACCGCAUACGGUCUUCGGAUUAAAGCAUUUAUGCGCUGAAGGAGUGGCCUGCGUCAUAUUAGAUAGUUGGUGAGGUAAUGGCUUACCAAGUCGAUGAUGUGUAGCUGGUCUGAGAGGAUGAUCAGCCAGACUGGAACUGAGACACGGUCCAGACUCCUACGGGAGGCAGCAGUGAGGAAUAUUUCACAAUGAGCGAAAGCUUGAUGGAGCAAUGCCGCGUGCAGGAUGAAGGCCCUCGGGUUGUAAACUGCUUUUAUAAGAGAAGAUUAUGACGGUAACUUAUGAAUAAGGGACGGCUAACUACGUGCCAGCAGCCGCGGUCAUACGUAGGUCCCGAGCGUUAUCCGGAGUGACUGGGCGUAAAGAGUUGCGUAGGCGGUCAAGUUAGCGAGCGAUGAAAACUAUCGGCUCAACCGAUAGCUUGUUGUUCGAACUGCUUGACUCGAGAGUAUCAGAGGUCGCUGGAAUUCCUAGUGUAGCAGUGAAAUGCGUAGAUAUUAGGAAGAACACCGAUGGCGUAGGCAGGCGACUGGGAUAUUUCUGACGCUAAGGCACGAAAGCGUGGGUAGCGAACCGGAUUAGAUACCCGGGUAGUCCACGCCGUAAACGAUGGAUGCUAAUUGUUUGAGGUAUCGACCCCUCGAGUAAUAAAGCUAACGCGUUAAGCAUCCCGCCUGUGGAGUACGGCCGCAAGGCUAAAACAUAAAGGAAUUGACGGGGACCCGCACAAGCGGUGGAUCGUGUUCUUUA